CGUACGAGAGUUUAAACUCAAGUGGCGGACGGGUGAGUAACACGUAAGAAUUUACCUUUAGGAGGGGGACAACAGCUAGAAAUGACUGCUAAUACCCCAUAUGUUUUCGAAUGAAAUGGAUUUUUCCGCCUAGAGAGAAGCUUGCGGCUGAUUAGCUUGUUGGUGAGGUAAUGGCUCACCAAGGCGACGAUCAGUAUCUGGUUUGAGAGGACGAUCAGACACACUGGAACUGAGACACGGUCCAGACUCCUACGGGAGGCAGCAGUGGGGAAUUUUCCGCAAUGGGCGAAAGCCUGACGGAGCAAUACCGCGUGAGGGAUGACGGCCUAUGGGUUGUAAACCUCUUUUUUCAGGGAGGAAUAAAUGACGUGUACCUGAAGAAUAAGCAUCGGCUAACUCCGUGCCAGCAGCCGCGGUAAGACGGAGGAUGCAAGUGUUAUCCGGAAUCACUGGGCGUAAAGCGUCUGUAGGUGGUUUGAUAAGUCAACUGUUAAAUCUUGAGGCCCAACCUCAAAAUCGCAGUCGAAACUAUUAAACUAGAGUAUAGUAGGGGUAAAGGGAAUUUCCAGUGGAGCGGUGAAAUGCGUAGAGAUUGGAAAGAACACCGAUGGCGAAGGCACUUUACUGGGCUAUUACUAACACUCAGAGACGAAAGCUAGGGUAGCAAAUGGGAUUAGAUACCCUGGUAGUCCCCU
rnacentral:rRNA from 1 species